rnacentral:rRNA from 1 species
CACGAACCGGACAAACGUUAUUCGGAAUCACUGGGCUUAAAGGGUGCGUAGGCGGCCUGACAAGUUGGGUGUGAAAUCCCUCGGCUCAACCGAGGAAUUGCGUCCAAAACUGUUGGGCUCGAGGGAGUUAGAGGUAAGCGGAACUUAGGGUGGAGCGGUGAAAUGCGUUGAUAUCCUAAGGAACACCAGUGGCGAAAGCGGCUUACUGGAGCUUUUCUGACGCUGAGGCACGAAAGCCAGGGGAGCGAACGGG